rnacentral:rRNA from 1 species
GAACUGGCGGCAGGCCUAACACAUGCAAGUCGAGCGGCAGCGACUUAACUGAACCUUCGGGGAACGUUAAGGGCGGCGAGCGGCGGACGGGUGAGUAAUGCCUGGGAAUAUGCCCUGAUGUGGGGGAUAACUAUUGGAAACGAUAGCUAAUACCGCAUAAUCUCUUCGGAGCAAAGAGGGGGACCUUCGGGCCUCUCGCGUCAGGAUUAGCCCAGGUGGGAUUAGCUUGUUGGUGAGGUAAUGGCUCACCAAGGCAACGAUCCCUAGCUGGUCUGAGAGGAUGAUCAGCCACACUGGAACUGAGACACGGUCCAGACUCCUACGGGAGGCAGCAGUGGGGAAUAUUGCACAAUGGGGGAAACCCUGAUGCAGCCAUGCCGCGUGUGUGAAGAAGGCCUUCGGGUUGUAAAGCACUUUCAGUAGGGAGGAAGGUAGUGUAGUUAACACCUGCAUUAUUUGACGUUACCUACAGAAGAAGCACCGGCUAACUCCGUGCCAGCAGCCGCGGUAAUACGGAGGGUGCGAGCGUUAAUCGGAAUUACUGGGCGUAAAGCGCAUGCAGGCGGCCUGUUAAGUCAGAUGUGAAAGCCCGGGGCUUAACCUCGGAAUUGCAUUUGAAACUGGCAGGCUAGAGUCUUGUAGAGGGGGGUAGAAUUUCAGGUGUAGCGGUGAAAUGCGUAGAGAUCUGAAGGAAUACCAGUGGCGAAGGCGGCCCCCUGGACAAAGACUGACGCUCAGAUGCGAAAGCGUGGGGAGC